ensembl:antisense Gm44877 predicted gene 44877
UGGUGGUGGCACACACCUUUAUUAAUUCCAGCACUAGGGAGGCAGAGGGAAGUCUUGUGGUUACACAUUAACCCAAGUGUCCUGUGGACUCUGGGGCUGAUAACAGGGCUCACGCAAGGCCUGCUCUUGUCUGGCACUUGCUGAUAAGGUACCCAUCAGGCACCAAGGGCCACCCCCCAGCACUUAGAAACCUGGCCACCACCUCCAAAAGUGAGCCCCCUCCCCCAAAGUGGAACUCCCAUUGUCUCACACCCAGCCAAUUAUAAGGAACAAU